GUGUUCACUUUGGCAGCACACAUACUAAAAUUAGAAUGAUACAGAGAAGAUUAGCAUGGCCCCAGCACAAGGAUGACACACAAAUUCGUGAAGCAUUCAAUAUUUUA
rnacentral:snRNA from 1 species